UGCAGGGCUAAAGAAGGAACAUUCAAGGAAGUGGGGAAAGCAAGCCAAUGAUUCUGCAGCAGAAAAUAUCUUGGUGUGCUCAAGGAUAUGCCCAAAAGAGAGUUCUUCCUUGGGCAUGAGACAUCCAAAGAGAUGUCAAGGAGGCAGUCAAACGCAGGGUCUGGAGCUCAGAAGAGCUGCUGAAAUGAUUGCUUUGUGACUGUGCUCUGCCCCGUGAAGACAGCGCCAGCAUCAGCUUCUUACUUCGAGCUACACUCACUGGAAAUAAAGCAGCUGGGAAAGAUCCCGGUGCUUUACCCAAG